rnacentral:rRNA from 1 species
UAGAUACCCUGGUAGUCCACACUGUAAACGAUGAAUGCUAGGUGUAGGUGGUAUCGACCCCAUCUGUGCCGUCGUAAACACAAUAAGCAUUCCGCCUGGGGAGUACGGUCGCAAGAUUAAAACUCAAAGGAAUUGACGGGGGCCCGCACAAGCAGCGGAGCAUGUGGUUUAAUUCGAAGCAACGCGAAGAACCUUACCAGGUCUUGACAUCCGCUUUAGGCAUAUAGAGAUAUAUGUGGAACUUCGGUUC